UACGGAGGGUGCGAGCGUUGUCCGGAAUCACUGGGCGUAAAGGGCGCGUAGGCGGCCUGAUAAGUAGGGGGUGAAAUCCUGCGGCUUAACCGCAGGGCUGCCUUCUAAACUGUCGGGCUAGAGCACGGUAGAGGCAGAUGGAAUUCCCGGUGUAGCGGUGGAAUGCGUAGAGAUCGGGAAGAACAUCAGUGGCGAAGGCGGUCUGCUGGGCCGUUGCUGACGCUGAGAAGCGAAAGCAUGGGGAGCGAACAGG
rnacentral:rRNA from 1 species